UUAAAGAUGGCUUCGUAGGUAAUUCACUGCGUAGUAUUUUCUCUUUCCAGCCCCAAUGUCCUGUAAACAGUUCACAACACUCUGUAAAUGCUGUCCAAAAGUUUCAUUACAGGUGACAAAAAAAAAGUGACAUGUUUCUUUUCUUAUUUGGGCAACUCAAAAAUGGCAGAUGCUUCGGACUUGUUGGCGUCAUGGAGUCCACCGGCCCACGUGAUGACGAUAUGGGUCUGCUGCAACACCUGAAGGUCACUUGUUUGCUGGACUUGCAACUCAAAAAUGGCAGAUGCUUCGGACUUGUUGGCGUCGUGGAGUCCACCGGCCGAGGUGAUGACGAUAUGGGUCUGCUGCUACACCUGAAGGGAUUUAAUUAAUCAACUGCAUACGUGCACGAGUGC